rnacentral:rRNA from 1 species
AAUGGACGCAAGUCUGAGGGAGCGACGCCGCGUGCUAGAAGAAGCUCUUCGGAGUGUAAAUAGCUUUUCUGUGGGAAAAACUACGAUGGUACCACAGGAAUAAGGGGCUGCUAACUUCGUGCCAGCAGCAGCGGUAAUACGAAGGCCCCAAGUGUUAUCCGGAUUUAUUGGGCGUAAAGAGCUAAAAGGUGGUUUGGUAAGUCGGCUGUUAAAGCCCGGAGCUCAACUCCGGAUCUGCAACCGAAACUGCUAGACUAGAGGGCGGAAAAGGUAAGUGGAAUUGCUGGUGUAGCAGUAAAAUGCGUUAAUAUCAGCAGGAACAUCAAUAGCGAAGGCAGCUUACUGAGACGCUCCUGACACUAAAUAGCGAAAGCGUAGGUAGCGAAUGGGAUU